rnacentral:rRNA from 1 species
UACGGAGGAUCCAAGCGUUAUCCGGAUUUAUUGGGUUUAAAGGGUGCGUAGGCGGCCUAUUAAGUCAGGGGUGAAAGACGGUAGCUUAACUAUCGCAGUGCCUUUGAUACUGAUGGGCUUGAAUGUACUUGAGGUAGGCGGAAUGUGACAAGUAGCGGUGAAAUGCAUAGAUAUGUCACAGAACACCAAUUGCGAAGGCAGCUUACUAAAGUAUGAUUGACGCUGAGGCACGGAAGCGUGGGGAUCAAACAGG